rnacentral:rRNA from 1 species
ACCUGCGGAAGGAUCAUUACCGAGUGCGGGCUGCCUCCGGGCGCCCAACCUCCCACCCGUGACUACCUAACACUGUUGCUUCGGCGGGGAGCCCUCUCGGGGGCGAGCCGCCGGGGACUACUGAACUUCAUGCCUGAGAGUGAUGCAGUCUGAGUCUGAAUAUAAAAUCAGUCAAAACUUUCAACAAUGGAUCUCUUGGUUCCGGCAUCGAUGAAGAACGCAGCGAACUGCGAUAAGUAAUGUGAAUUGCAGAAUUCAGUGAAUCAUCGAGUCUUUGAACGCACAUUGCGCCCCCUGGCAUUCCGGGGGGCAUGCCUGUCCGAGCGUCAUUGCUGCCCAUCAAGCCCGGCUUGUGUGUUGGGUCGUCGUCCCCCCCGGGGGACGGGCCCGAAAGGCAGCGGCGGCACCGUGUCCGGUCCUCGAGCGUAUGGGGCUUUGUCACCCGCUCGAUUAGGGCCGGCCGGGCGCCAGCCGACGUCUCCAACCAUUUUCUUCAGGUUGACCUC